rnacentral:rRNA from 1 species
GACGAACGCUGGCGGCGUGCUUAACACAUGCAAGUCGAACGAUGAAACCUAGCUUGCUAGGUCGAUUAGUGGCGAACGGGCGAGUAACACGUGACUAACCUGCCCCUUUCUCUGGGAUAACGCUCCGAAAGGAGUGCUAAUACCGGAUACUCACAUCGAGGCACAUGCCUUGGUGUGGAAAGUUUUUCGGAAAGGGAUGGAGUCGCGGCCUAUCAGCUUGUUGGUGAGGUAACGGCUCACCAAGGCGACGACGGGUAGCCGGCCUGAGAGGGCGACCGGCCACACUGGGACUGAGACACGGCCCAGACUCCUACGGGAGGCAGCAGUGGGGAAUAUUGCACAAUGGGCGCAAGCCUGAUGCAGCGACGCCGCGUGAGGGAUGAAGGUCUUCGGAUUGUAAACCUCUUUCAGUAGGGACGAAGCGAAAGUGACGGUACCUAAAGAAGAAGCACCGGCUAACUACGUGCCAGCCGCCGCCGUAAAAC